rnacentral:snRNA from 1 species
AUUUGUACAUUACAUGUAUCAGGGCCAUGAACGAGACCCGGAGAGAGUUUUUGGGUACCCUUUCGCGCUUGAAAGGGUU